UCCAGAAAAAAAUUAAAUAUACAAUGGAAAUCCUUUUUAUUGUUUUGUACUUAUUUUAAACUAUGUGCUAUACCAGUUGAUACAUUAACAUUACAAUUAUAUGCUCAGUUUUUGAGUAGGACAUUUAAAUCUGUCGAUUCAAUUAAAAAUUACAUCAGUGGAGUUAGAAACAUGCACCUAAUCUUAGGAGCUAAAACAGAGCAAAUUAAUAAUUUUUUAUUAAAUUUAUCCUUAAAAGGCAUAGCAAAAUCAAAGUGUCAUAUGGUGAAGCGAGCAGAACCUAUUUUUCCAGGUAUUCUGUUACAGAUUCAUAAAGUUUUAGAUUUUUCAAAGGCUGAUAGUUAUGUUUACUGGUGUCUUUUCCUUUACGCCUUUUUUCUUUUGGCCAGAAAAUCAAACUUAGUACCCACUUCCAGACAUGAUUUAAUAAAUCCAAAAUCUUUACUCAGUAGGGAUGUUAUGCAAUCCGAGUUAGGACUGUUAGUAACCAUAAAGUGGUCCAAGACCAUUCAGCAAGGGGAAAGAGUGCUUCAGUUCCCUCUGGCACCUAUUCCUCAUUCACCAUUGUGUCCAGUUACAGCCUAUAAUAACAUGAUUUCCUUGAUUCCCAGGUCUCAUGCCUCGCCACUGUUUGUUUUGAAAUCUGGCAAAUUGGUUUCAUACCGUAUGUUCUUGAAACAGUUACGUUUUGUAAUUUCACAGAUAGGCCUGGAUCCUUACAAGUACUCGACUCAUAGUUUUCGUCGUGGUUUUACAACAUUAGCCUUUCGUUUAAAUUUACCAGCUGACAUUAUUCAAAAUUUGGGGGACUGGAAAUCUUAUUGUUACAAAAAGUACCUAGAAUUUACUUUGUCAGACAAGGUUAGAGUGUCUAAGUUUAUAUCUAGCAACUUACAGAGAGGCAUUUUUGAAGCAGAUGGGUUUUCAAAAUGUUGAGUCUUAUUUUCAUGAUACGAGUGUUUGUCUUCGACCUUAAGAAGGGGAGACGAUCCUACUUACAGUGGCAGUUUUGACAUCACUGGGUAGGAUCACGUGGUUCUGUGUAUCAUGUUUUAAGACUUUUCAGAUUGUAUACUCAUUUGCGUUAUGUUUAUUGUCUAAGUAUAGAUUAGAUUAUGAAAGUGUAUAUAUAGUUUUAAAUUAUUUCCUAUGAUAGUCAGAAUAGUUACUUAGGCAUGUCCAGUGUACAGUUGACAGUAAACUGAGAAGCAAACUCAGUUCGAAAGUAAAGACAGUUUUAAUUAUUUGUUUUACUCAUAUUGUCUUUAUAAUUAUUUAAUUUAAUGUGAUGAUUAAUUAUGCAUGUUUUUAAUACUUGUUUUUUCUUUGCAGACUGUCACAAAAUCCGUAAAGUUCUCAUUGUUGGGGAUUCCAUAGUGAAGCAUUUACCACAUAUUGAAGGUGUUACUAAUUUGUCUUUUAGGGGGGCAACUAUAGGUAAAUUGCAACAUCUUUUUGAUCAAAAAGUCAUUUCUUUAACUAAUGUUGAAUUUUUGAUACUGCAUGUAGGUACAAAUAAUAUUAGCAACAAUUGGUCAGUAAGAGAUAUGCAAUCAGCUCUAACUAAUUUAUUGGCCAUUGUUUGUAAAAAAUCUAAAAGGGUAUAUAUUAUUGUGUCCUCCAUUUUGCCUCGUCCAGUAGAUAUGGAAACAACUUCUGAGAGGAUUAAAGAAUAUAAUAAAUCGCUUGACGAUGUAUAUGCAAAGGAACUAAAUUUCAAAUUUAUUAAGUCAUACAGACCAUUCUUUACUAAAGGUGUGGUUAAAAGGAAUCUCUUUGCAACACUGGACGGGGGUCUUCAUUUGAAUUUUGAAGGUUCAGCUCGUUUAGGUCAUUAUUUGAAAAACGUAAUUGCACAUUUGCCUUAACGCACUUAAAUGACAGAUGAACAAUAAGGUAAAAAUCAGAUUGCAUACAUUUGCAUUAGUUACUAAGGUAGACAAUCGCGAAAGAGAAAGUCAUUGUUAGCUACCUUAGUUUAGUGUCAAUAUUUGUUGUCAAAUUUUAUCAAUAGCCUUGUUUAUCUAGCAAAAAAUUAAUUUUACAUUAAUUUAAUCCAGGGAUUCUAUGAAGUUAAACAGUUUGUUCAAGAGAAUUUACUAUAUAAGAGUCGAUGCAGGAAAGGAAGUAACGUUUGAGAAAUGAAUUACGUCACUGCUACAGGAUGGCACAUAAUUUGCAGCCCAAAUAACAGAGACUAGCUCUAUUCUAUAGAAAUAGUCAUCAUUACUCACGAGGAGAAGGUGACAAAGCACUGGCAAAGCCAAGGCCAACCAAAGAUGACUACCACCUACUGGACAGAUGUGAACAAGUCAUCAUCUUUAGGCUUCGCACAGGACAUAACAGGUUAAAUGCCCAUAUGUGUACAAAGCUUAAAUUGUCUCCCUCUCCCAUGUGCCCUUGUGGCCUGGAACAGCAAACUGCUGAGCAUAUUCUGCAGAGAUGUCCACGUCUGGAAAACCAAAGGAAAAGUGUGUGGCAAAACAGCACCCCAAUGAAAACCAAAGUGCACGGCAAGAAGGAGGACCUGAAGAGGAAGGCAUCCUUCAUUGCUGGAUCAGGGAUGACAGUGUAGGCGGUGAACGCCAAGAAGAAAGAAGAAGAAACGGCCUAAGAAUGUUGUCAAUUAAAUUACAACUCUUUCCUGUGCUUUUGUGUCGUAACUAUGUACAAAAAAUGAAGUAAAGUGUAAAGAAAUGAG
rnacentral:lncRNA from 1 species